UACGUAGGGUGCAAGCGUUAAUCGGAAUUACUGAGCGUAAAGCGUGCGCAGGCGGUUUUGUAAGCCAGAUGUGAAAGCCCCGGGCUCAACCCGGGAAUGGCAUUUGGGACUGCAAGGCUUGAGUGCGGCAGAGGAGACUGGAAUUCCUGGUGUAGCAGUGAAAUGCGUAGAUAUCAGGAGGAAUACCGAUGGCGAAGGCAGGUCUCUGGGCUGACACUGACGCUCAUGCACGAAAGCGUGGGGAGCAAACAGG
rnacentral:rRNA from 1 species